rnacentral:rRNA from 1 species
CGAAGGAUGCAAGCGUUAUCCGGAUUCAUUGGGUUUAAAGGGUGCGUAGGCGGACUGAUAAGUCAGUGGUGAAAUCUCUUUGCUUAACAAAGAAACUGCCAUUGAUACUGUCGGUCUAGAGUAUAGAUGACGUUGGCGGAAUAUGACAUGUAGUGGUGAAAUACUUAGAUAUGUCAUAGAACACCGAUUGCGAAGGCAGCUAACGAGACUAUAACUGACGCUGAGGCACGAAAGUGCGGGGAUCAAACAGGAUUAGAUACCCUGGUAGUCCGCACCGUAAACGAUGAUUACUCGUUGUUGGCGAUAUGACAGUCAGCGACCAAGCGAAAGCGAUAAGUAAUCCACCUGGGGAGUACGCCGGCAACGGUG